UCCCAAUCAUACCAAUUGACACCUACAAAUAUAACAACACCACCAAUUCCAACUUCCAGCACAUCACCUCACCACUGAUUCACUCAACUGCCAACAUAUACAACCUCACCACUGAUUCACUCAACUGCCAACAUAUACAACCACGUAUACAGAGCUAAAUAUUAUACAACUUUACAACCCACCAACAACCCACCGCCUCCAAGCCCACAACAAAACCCAAUUCCCAGAAAAACCAUCCUCAACAUACCAAAUCGACCACAACAGAUACAUACACCUGCACACACCUACAUACGCGUAUAUACCCAUACGCGCGUGGUCUUCUUCCUCCUAACGACGUCCAAAUCCACGAAACACCGCCUCUAUUUCUCUCCAUACUUGAAAUUUUACAAACGUCGACCCUCAAUUAUUGAUUUUGGCUUAGAAAAAUCUCCUUCAAAUUUAAUCCAAAUCAAAGAAUGUCAAAAUGAAUUCGAAUUAUUGGGGAUAUGUUUUUUUUGAAAUUCAAAUUGAUUGUAUUUCGACUAUAAAUUAUUGAAUUGUUUACCGAGGAAGGGACGAAGAGUUUUCUUUUAGAAUCCCUUGUUAUUAGGAAAUUUCUCACAAUUCGUAAGCUUUGGUUAAUCUCCAAAGACAGACUCUUGUUUGCUUUCUUUUUUUGGUUUAGGAUAUACUCACCCUUCUCUUACUACUCUCUGUUGUCACUGGCAUUCUAAGUCGGUGUGCAAGCUUAUUUCCGUCAACUCGUCAUUCCAGUUCCUGCUACGAAGAAGGAGUAUUUCGGUCGAAGAGGUUAAGGGUGUUGUGCGUAGGAUGCGCUGGAGAAGAGUGACCGGACCUGACGAGAUUUCUGGGGAGUUUUGGAAGAGCGCGAGCCCGGUAGGUUUGGAGUGUAUGUCUAGGUUAUUCAAUGUCAUCUUUAGGACAUCAACGAUGCCCGAAGAAUGGAGGUCGAGCGUAAUGAUCCCUCUAUACAAAAACAAGGGGAUAUCCAGAGCUGCAACAACUAUAGAGGUAUCAAGCUUCUAAGCCAUACUAUGAAAGUGUGGGAAAGAGUGGUGGAGAUGAGGGUUAGGAGAAGCGUGUUUAUUUUAGAGAAUCAGUUCGGAUUUAUGCCGGGAUACUCAACUAUAGUAGCCAUCCAUCUUAUGAGGAGACUGGUGGAGCAGUACAGGGAGAGAAAGAGGGACUUGCAUAUGGUAUUCAUCGAUCUAGAAAAGGCUUACGAUAAAGUUUCACGAGAGAUACUAUGGAGAUGUUUGGAGGCUAAAGGUGUACCUGUGGCGUACAUUAGAGUGAUCAAGGAUAUGUAUGAGGGUGCCAAAAUCAGGGUAAGGACAGUAGGAGGGGACUCAAAGCACUUUUCAGUUGUAAUGGAGUUGCAUCAAGGAUCAAUCCUUAGUCCAUUUUUAUUUGCCUUGGUGAUGGAUGAAUUGACGCGACAAAUUUAAGGUGAUGUGCCAUGGUGUAUGCUUUUUACGGAUGACAUAGUCCUAAUUGAUGAGACUCGCAGCGGAGUUAAUGAUAAGCUGGAGGAUUGGAGACAUACCUUGGAGUCUAAAGGGUUUAAGCUGAGUAGGAUCAAGACAGAGUACUUAUAGUGCAAGUUCAGUGAGACACCUCAGGAGGUUGGUGCGGAAGUUAAGCUUGGUGACCAAGUCAUUUAAAAGAAAAGUAGUUUCAAGUACCUUGGGUUUAUCAUGCAAGGCAGCGGGGAGAUUGACGACGAUGUCAUACAUCAUAUUGGGGCAGGGUGGAUGAAGUGGAGGCUCGCUUCCGGCGUGCUAUGUGACAAGAAGGUGCCACCACAACUUAAGGGCAAGUUCUACAAAGUGGUGGUUAGACCGGUUAUGUUAUAUGGGGCGGAGUGUUGGCCAGUUAAGGUCUCUCACGUUCAAAAAAUGAAAGUAGCCGAGAUGAGAAUGUUGAGAUGGAUGCGUGGGCAUACCAGGAGCGACAUGAUUAGAAAUGAGGUUAUUCGAGACAAGGUAGGAGUGGCCUCGGUGGAAGACAAAAUGCGAGAAAUGCGAUUGAGAUGGUUUGGACAUAUGAAGAGGAGAGACACAGAUGUCCUAGUGAGGAGGUGCGAGAGGCUGGCCAUGUAUGGUUUCAGAAGAGGUAGGGGUAGGCCGAAGAAAUAUUGGGGAGAGUUGAUUAGAUAGGACAUGACGCAGUUACAGCUUACCGAGGACAUGACCUUAGAUAGAAGGGUGUGAAGGAUCCGCAUUAGGGUAGAAAGCUAGAACAUAGUCUCGCUAUUCUUCCCUAUUAGUAAGCAUAUUAGCACACUAUAAUUUUCUUUGUGGAGGACUCAGAUUAGGAUAAAAGGCUAGGUGACUUAUCCUUACACCAUAGUAGUUGUAGUAGUUGUAGUUCUACUCAUUGUUUAUUGCCAUUUGAUUUUUGGAUUGUAUUGUUGUUUAUAGGGGUGGGGCCGUUGUACUUUGAUUAUCUUAUUUAUUUAUAGUAGUUAAUGCCUCUUUUCUUACGUACUAUUCUACCAUGACUUUCUCACUUUUGUUAUUCCUUGUUUUCAUCUUGUUUUCGAUAUGCUUGUCCCUAUCUGACCUUUUAUCUUGUUUUCAUCUCUUAGUCGAGGGUCUUUUGGAAACAGUCGCCCUACCUUUCAAGGUGGGGGUUAGGUCUGCGUACACUUCACCCUCUCCAGACCCCACAUGGUGGGAUUAUACUCGAUUUGUUGUUGUUAUUGUAUAGUUAUUGUUCCAUUGUCCAGAAUUCCCUUUAUUUCAUAUUUUAAUUCAAAUAAAAAAAAUAUUGGUUAAUUGUGGUUGAAUCCUAUUUGAUUUAAGCAGCUUCCCUAAUCCAUUUUUCUUUUAUUUUUGUUGUUCGUGGGGCUGCCUUUUCGAGUCCAUUGUGGGCUUUAUUUUUCUAUUUGCAUUUUCGUAUUGAGUCAUGGAGGCUUGAAACCCAGCAAAUCCUCUUUAUCGAGUCAAUCUCAUCAAGGAACUUGGUACACAUUGAAAAGGAAGCCGGUAAAAAGGUUUAUGAAAGCAAAUAUACGGUGAUAUACAUGCUGGAUACAUGGAAAAGAAGACAAUAUACACAUUGUAUACAUCAGUAUACAUGUUGAUAUACAUGGAAAUGGACCACUGGCCCAAAAAUGAGGCAGACACAAUUAUGUUAGUAGUUAGUACAGGUUUAAGAUUGGGCCUAGUAAGCUCAACAGUUUGAAUUUGGGUAAUCUGCCUAAAUUUAUUAUUUGUUUUAUUUAACUGAUUAUUCUUGUGAUUAUAUAUCUGUUAACUUUAACCCUAAUUUUAGAUUAAUCAAAUUAAAUUUCCUACAAGAGGAACAACUUUCUUUUA